UACGUAGGGUCCGAGCGUUGUCCGGAAUUAUUGGGCGUAAAGAGCUCGUAGGCGGUUUGUCGCGUCUGCUGUGAAAUCCCGAGGCUCAACCUCGGGCCUGCAGUGGGUACGGGCAGACUUGAGUGGUGUAGGGGAGACUGGAAUUCCUGGUGUAGCGGUGGAAUGCGCAGAUAUCAGGAUGAACACCGAUGGCGAAGGCAGGUCUCUGGGCACUUACUGACGCUGAGGAGCGAAAGCGUGGGGAGCGAACAGG
rnacentral:rRNA from 1 species